GCCACGCCAUUUCCACUUACAGGGAAUGGGCCGCGUGCCAGGCACCUGUGCUGAGUGUGUUCUAGUUCUUAUCUAGGUUAAUCCCAACAACACUCUUCCAAUGUAGGCAUUGUGAUUGUUUUGCAGACGAGGAAAGAGAGGCUCAGAGAGGUGAACUUCCCUGCCAAGUGGCACAGCUCGUCCACAGACGAGCCCGGAUUCACUGCAGUGUGUGCGGGCUGUCCCGUCCCCUUCCGCUCUUGUCCUACAUCACAGACUGGAGGCCUGGAUUCUGGCCUCCAACUCCAAGUUGCCCAGCAAACGUUCCAAUCCCACGCACGCUUCUCACCCUCACUCACUCCAGGAGGAAGGAUUUGCCACAACGGAUACAACACAACCGCGAAGAAGAUCCAGCUACCUCACCAUCAACCACAGGAACCAAUGUCACUGACUAAAUGUUGAAUGAAAGAAGCCAGAUGCAAGAGUAUGUCCUGCUUCCACCCCUGUGGAGUCAUCACCUCAGCAACACUACCAAGGGUGACAGCAGGCAGAAGAGUAGUUACUUCUGGAGCUUGAGGUUAGCUCGCGUGGGGCUUGAGGGAGCCUCUGGGAAAUGUUCUAUAACUUGAUGUGGGUGUGUGCAUCUGUAAAACCCCACCAAGCUGGCUACUUAAGAUUUGUGCGCUUUGGAGUUCCUGCUGCGGCUCAGGGGGUUAAGGACCUGACAUUGUCUCUGUGAGGAUGCAGGUUCGAUCCCUGGCCUUGCUCAGUGGGUUAAGAACCUGGCCUUGCCACAACCUGUGGCAUAGGUUGCAUAUGUGGCUUGGAUCCCACGUUGCUGUGGCUGUGGUGUAGGCUGGUAGCUGCAGCUUGGAUUCAACCCCUAGCCCAAGAAUUUCCACAUGCUGCAGGUAUAGCCAUAAAGAAAAGAAGAAAAAAAAAAAAAAAGAAGGAAGAUUUGUGCACUUUAAGGUAUAUAUUCUACUUAAAAAAAAAAAAGUGAAGGGGUUCCUGUUCUGGCUCAGUAGUAAUGAACCUGACUAGUGUCCAUGGGGUUGCAGGUUUGAUCCCUGGCCCCACUCAGUGGGUUAAGGAUCCAGCAUUGCUGUGAGCUGUGGUGUAGGUCUUGGAGGCAGCUCAGAUCCCAUGUUGUGGUGGCUGUGGGGUAGGCCGGCAGCUGCAGCUCCGAUGCAACCCCUAGCCCAGGAAUUUCCCUAUGCCUCAGGUGCAGUCCUAAAAAAGCAAAAAAAUAAUCAAUAAAAAUAAAAAAUGUGAGAAGCAUAAAGCAAACAAACAAUGAGCCAUAAAACAGGGUAGACAUCGCCCUCCACCACUACUUUGAAUGGCUUGUCCGAUGCUCCCUGUGUGAUUAC
rnacentral:lncRNA from 9 species